UUUGAGAUCCCACUUACUAGUUUAUCAGAGGCAAAGCUGUAUGAUGGGUCUGGAACUGAAGUUGAUGGGAAUGUGUUUGAGGAGGCGGUGACACGGCCAAAUCUUGGUGUUUUUAAGCUCACACUGUACAAUGAUGCUAAAGGAUGGGACAGUGACCUAUCCUCCAUCCUUCUCCUGCUCCAUUUGACUCCUCCUUCAUCACAAGGCCGCAAAAGACCAGGAAAGAUGUCUGCAUCCCAAGCUGAACAGCAUCUUGUCAUAUUCCAAAAGGCAGGAACCAGUAUCCAGGAGCACCUUGAUGCGAUUGACCAGAGCCGCGAACCAUAUCUUCUUGCAGUCGGGACCAGGAAGAGCAGCAUCCAUGCUUACUUCAUCAUCCUGGACAAGCGAGCCUUGCUGUGCAAGUCAAUGAGAGCUCUUGUUGCCUUCGAUGAGCUUUGCAAGACUCUCUUUGUUUUUGGUACUGCUUACAAUAGAAUGCUGCGCAACAUGUACAC